rnacentral:rRNA from 1 species
AUUGAACGCUGGCGGCAUGCCUUACACAUGCAAGUCGAACGGCAGCGGACCUUCGGGUGCCGGCGAGUGGCGAACAGGUGAGUAAUAUAUCGGAACGUACCUUUCAGUGGGGGAUAACGUAGCGAAAGUUACGCUAAUACCGCAUAUUCUGUGAGCAGGAAAGCAGGGGAUCGCAAGACCUUGCGCUGAUUGAGCGGCCGAUAUCAGAUUAGCUAGUUGGUGAGGUAAAGGCUCACCAAGGCGACGAUCUGUAGCGGGUCUGAGAGGAUGAUCCGCCACACUGGAACUGAGACACGGUCCAGACUCCUACGGGAGGCAGCAGUGGGGAAUUUUGGACAAUGGGCGCAAGCCUGAUCCAGCCAUGCCGCGUGAGUGAAGAAGGCCUCGGUUGUAAG